GGAAGGGAGGAAGCGUAGAAGGUGCCGAUGCACUUUUCCUCUCUCCAGCCCUCCUGACUGCUCCAAGAAUUUCAUCGAACAAGACUCAAAGAGGCCCAGCUGCUCUGCGUUUUGAUUCUUCUCCCUCUCUCAGUCCACACUGACCUGGGAGGGGCUUCUCAAACACCACAUUUCCUAGCGUGCUGUGAGAAGAGGACUGUGAGCUAAGAAGGGAGAAAAGCCAAAUAAAAAUACAGACAAACCAACCAACCAAGCACUGACGAGCCAGUAAAGAGGGAACUGUCGGGGAAUCAGGGCUGAGAGAAUCUCUGAUACAGCAGCGGAAAUAGGCACUCCCUCCUCAUCAACAAACACCUGACCUGGGUAGACCCUCUGCUUACCAAGAUCCAGUCCACCUUUUGACAUCAGCAUUCAUGCUGCCUCUUUUUACGAACCAAGCCAAAGUGGUCCCUUCCUCUGGAAAUUAUAGGAUACUUAAUGUACAUCAUAUCCAGCUUCCCGACUCCAGACUGUGGGAGAUGACACAGAGCCAGCCUGCCUGGAUGUGACUCAGCUCUGCAACUUAUUAAAGACCUUUGGCAAAUCACCUAA
rnacentral:lncRNA from 1 species